rnacentral:rRNA from 1 species
CGCCUCCUGCAAUAUAAAGUAUAGGAGGUCCAGCCUGCCCAGUGACUACGGGUUCAACGGCCGCGGUAUAUUGACCGUGCAAAGGUAGCGCAAUCACUUGUCUUUUAAAUAGAGACCUGUAUGAAUGGCUAGACGAGGGCUUAACUGUCUCCCCCUUCCAGUCAGUGAAAUUGAUCUAUCCGUGCAGAAGCGGGUAUAAUACUACAAGACGAGAAGACCCUUUGGAGCUUAAGGUACAAAAUUCAGCCAUGUUAAGCAACUCCAUAGAAAGCAAGAACUUUAUGGCCAUGAAACUUUACCUUCGGUUGGGGCGACCACGGAGGAAAAGCAAGCCUCCGAGUGGACUGGGCCAAACCCCUAAAGCUAAAAGAGACAUCUUUAAGCCGCAGAACAUCUGACCAACAAUGAUCCGACCAAGAGGUCGAUCAACGGACCAAGUUACCCUAGGGAUAACAGCGCAAUCCUCUCCCAGAGCCCAUAUCGACGAGGGGGUUUACGACCUCGAUGUUGGAUCAGGACAUCCUGAUGGUGCAGCCGCUAUUAAGGGUUCGUUUGUUCAACGAUUAAAGUCCU